AAGCACAUCCUCAAGAUUUUGCCUUUUUCCUUUCACAUAAAGCCACAAACGGCUAAGAUGCGAUCGUUGUUCUGACCAUGCACGUGUCCCCACGAGAUUUUACCUUUUUUUCUUUUCUUUUCUGCGUGAGUGCUGAUAUUCUCCCUCAAUCCAUCUUCAAAAUUUAGAACACCGUUUUCCAUUUUUCGCAUCUAUCUGUAUUUCAUCGUUUCAGUUUGUACUUUAGGAAACAAAAUGAGUGGCCGGUCAAGUCGCACAUUAUAUGUCGGAAAUCUUCCUGGUGAUAUUCGUCUGAGAGAAGUAGAGGAUCUUUUCUACAAGUAUGGUCCUAUCGUUGACAUUGAUUUGAAGAUCCCUCCUAAACCACCAGGUUAUGCUUUUGUGGAGUUUGAGGAUGCUCGUGAUGCUCAAGAUGCAAUUUACUAUAGAGAUGGUUAUGAUUUUGAUGGUUAUCGAUUACGGGUUGAACUUGCACAUGGUGGACGGUCAGAUUCAUCAUCAGUAGACCGAUAUAGCAGGCAUCGCGGUAGAAGUGGUAGCCAUGGAGUUUCCAGGCGAUCUGAUUAUCGUGUUCUGGUGACUGGAUUACCUCCUUCUGCUUCAUGGCAAGACCUGAAAGAUCACAUGCGUAAAGCUGGUGAUGUGUGUUUUUCUCAAGUAUUUCGGGAGCGUGGAGGCUUAACAGGGAUUGUGGAUUAUACCAAUUAUGAUGAUGUGAAAUAUGCUAUCAGGAAACUUGAUGACUCUGAAUUUCGAAAUGCAUUUUCUCGGGCAUACAUACGAGUGAGGGAAUAUGAUCGGAGUUAUUCUAGAAGUCCUAGUCGUGAUUCAAGGAGGAGCUAUUCUCGAAGCCGCAGCCCAUAUGCAUCACGAAGUCGAAGCCGCAGUCUUAGUCAUAGCUAUAGUGGCAGGAGCAGAAGUUUGUCUCCGAAAGCAAAACACUCCCGGCGCUCAUUAUCUCUUUCAAGAUGUAGCCUUUUGCGGCGACCUGGGAACUGCAUGUUAGGAUCUUGAUGGCAUGUGGUGCUCAAACGCCUGCAACUUUGUGGUAUGAGAAUUGAUGACAGUAGAUGGAUGAGUUGCAAUCUAAAAGCUGGAUCACUGUGAACAUAAUACUAUUGGUAACAACAAUUGCAAAUCAGCAGUGAUACAGUUCAAAAACUACAAAUAACCUAUGCUCUAACUUGUGGGUUGAGAUCCCAUACGAGAUCCAGAUCCCCGAGCUCGUCUCCUAGACAUUACCGGAGUCGCAGUCCUAGCCAAAGUUCAAGGAGCAUGUAACAAUCUUGAUUGGCUUAUAAGUGAGAUCUGAAUGCUGUCAAUGUAUUUAAUCUGGGGAGACCACUACUGGACAUGCAUUUUCAUUCCGUGCUAAGGUCCAAUAUACUAUAGCUCAUUCUUGUUUUGUAUUUGAAUCUUAAAUUUGACAGGCGAGAAACUGUGAAACAAACCUUAUGUGCAUUUAAAUUUGAAGUGGGUGAUUAGAACAAAUUGAGAUGAUAUUGUAUUAACCUGGGCGUUUAGUAGUUUAAACCUGUCAUAUUGGAUUGGCUAGUUGUUAUCUUCUGGUGGUAUUCAUGCUUGAUUUUUAUGACA